rnacentral:rRNA from 1 species
UACAGAGGGUGCGAGCGUUGUUCGGAAUUAUUGGGCGUAAAGGGCGCGUAGGCGGCGCCACAAGUCACCUGUGAAAACUCUGGGCUCAACCCAGAGCCUGCAGGCGAAACUGUGGUGCGUGGAGUAUGGGAGAGGUGCGUGGAAUUCCCGGUGUAGCGGUGAAAUGCGUAGAUAUCAGGAGGAACACCAAUUGCGAAGGCAGCUCGCUGGGACGUUACUGACGACUGGAGACGCGAAAGCGUGGGGAGCAAACAGG